rnacentral:rRNA from 1 species
GAUAUGCUUUGGGGAGCUGUAAGUAAGCUUUGAUCCAGAGAUUUCCGAAUGGGGAAACCCAGCAUGAGUUAUGUCAUGUUAUCGAUAUGUGAAUACAUAGCAUAUCAGAAGGCACACCCGGAGAACUGAAACAUCUUAGUACCCGGAGGAAGAGAAAGAAAAUUCGAUUCCCUUAGUAGCGGCGAGCGAAACGGGAAGAGCCCAAACCAACAAGCUUGCUUGUUGGGGUUGUAGGACACUCUAUACGGAGUUACAAAGGACGACAUUAGACGAAUCAUCUGGAAAGAUGAAUCAAAGAAGGUAAUAAUCCUGUAGUCGAAAAUGUUGUCUCUCUUGAGUGGAUCCUGAGUACGACGGAGCACGUGAAAUUCCGUCGGAAUCUGGGAGGACCAUCUCCUAAGGCUAAAUACUCUCUAGUGACCGAUAGUGAACCAGUACCGUGAGGGAAAGGUGAAAAGCACCCCGGAAGGGGAGUGAAAUAGAACCUGAAACCGUGUGCUUACAAGUAGUCAGAGCCCGUUAAUGGGUGAUGGCGUGCCUUUUGUAGAAUGAACCGGCGAGUUACGAUUUGAUGCAAGGUUAAGCAGUAAAUGUGGAGCCGUAGCGAAAGCGAGUCUGAAUAGGGCGUUUAGUA